rnacentral:tRNA from 1 species
GCCUGGGUGGCUCAGUCGGUUAAGCGUCCGACUUCAGCUCGGGUCACGAUCUCACGGUCCAUGGGUUCGAGCCCCACGUCGGGCU